rnacentral:misc_RNA from 1 species
GGUAGCAACUAGGCGGGUGUAUAGCUGCAAUUAUAAAACGAAAAACUUCUAAAGGAUUAAUGUUGAUUCAUGACAAAGUUGAGGUUUAAAAUACAAAAAGCAACUCCAUGAAUGGGAUUGAAUAAAUUAUACUUCAAGGUUAGUCCCAUUUUCACUUGUGGGGUUUUGCCCAAUGACAAUUUGUCCCAUUACAUUUUGUUAAGGAUUAAAAGAUUAGAAAAGACCGUAUCUCAAGCCAUUGCACAAGAAAACCGUUAAAAAAAAUUAUGAACUUUCAGAAGGAAUGUAUCAUCCAAAAAAUAUAGUGCUACACUACAAAAUCACAUGGGCUUUUCCAUAAAAUUAAAUUGCAACAUUUGCACAAAAUAAAAGCUCUUUUAUGUGCUAUUACAUUAAUAAGCACUGACCAACCAAGUACCCUUUCAGAAUCUAUACUUUCCAAGCUGAGCAAAGGCAGAUGAAUAAAGAUAAGGUCAUACUAUUUCUAUAAAUUUUCCUCGUUAGCAAUAAUUAAAGAGAACGUCAUAAGCUGUCUAUAUUCACCACUAAUUUGAGUUUUAUUUUAGGCCUAUUCGGCAACAUGAGCUAUUCUAAUAUUCUAGUGUUUUAGUAGCGAUCAUCUGAAGUGUUACUAAAAAUAGCUAUUGUAAUAGAUAUUAAAUGUAAAACAAUAUUAAAUGUAAAAGGAUAGGAGGGAAAAUAAACGUCUAAACACAAGCCACCGAACAGCCGAACAGUAUGAUCAGGUAGUUUCUAGUCAAAACACUAAACAUCUUAGCCGUUUACCGAACAGGGCCUCAGUGAUUGUGCCAAAAAUGAAAUUGCCCCAAAAGAAAUUGACGCCCACAUGGAUAACGCCAAUUAUUUCCCAUAGGAAAAGAAUUUAUGAGGCAAUGAAUCUCACCAUGGAACCAGAACCAGAAAAUAUAGGGAACCAGAAAAUAUAGGAAACCAAACAAGUAUUAUAUCUACAAGAGACGAAAGAUAAAGCAAGUAGAGAUGUGUGCAAAUGAAGUGACGUACAUCAGGGGGGCAAUCAUUUAACA